AGCCCCUUUUGCUAAAAAUGAAUUCUCACCCUAUCAACAAAAUGCGUCCAGUCCACCAAUUAUUUGUUCCUCAAUGACCACGGGUACCAUUCCAAAGCAUUACCAUCAAAGUAGAAUGAUGCCAUGGUAAACUUUUGGUCAUCUAUAAUCUUGUUAAAAUGAAAUAACGCUCCACUUUAAACAGCGACGCCUCUAGAUUAUCUCCACAAAGUUGACCAAAUUCCAUUGAUGUUGGCUUGUGUUGGAGAGUGGUGGUCGGCAUUUGUUCCUGUCGAGCUAGAUCUGUUGUUGGAUAGAGCUGGUGAGUACCCAUAGGAGCUUUGUAGUAUAUCACAAAUCUCAAACAACUCCCUAGAAAAGGAUUCCUUCACCUCUUGAAUAGAAACAUGAAUUGAAUUGUCAAUCAAAUCCUUGAGUUGCCUUUGUCCUCUAAAUUAGAGACCUCUCAAUAAUGAAAACAUACACCAAUAUAACAAGCUAGAUACUUACCAAACUGAUUGAGAGGAGAAAUACAACAAAAAAAUAAAUGUGAUUGGAGAAACUCAAUACACAAUGCUAACCUACUUUUUUUAUGCCUACUGAUAGCUACUAAUAACAAACAUCUCUCUCUUUCAUAUGCAACCCACCUAUACUUUCCCAUCACAUUUUGCUACCAUGCUUCCCUACAAGAUCAACAAGUCUUUUAGAAGGUUGUUGAAGUGAGUUUGUUCAUAGGUAUAAAGAGGCCAUCACCAAUUUCAAGAAUUGCUCCUUUCGAGAAAUUUAUUUUAAUUUUAAUGUGAAUCUGUAUAUCUAUCUUCUCUCUUUUUUUAAUUUAUUUGCAUUAUGAUUUGAAGUGUUCUAUAUCUACAUUGAAGCUCGAUCGAAUUUGAAUUCACAUCAAAAAGUUUCAUAUUA